rnacentral:ncRNA from 2 species
ACUUUGACCCUGAUUAUUGGUUCAUGGUGAUAGUUCAGAUUAUCAUGAUGAAAAGGGAAUCCGGUGGUUUCACUAUAGAUUGGAAGAUUCCGGAGCUGUCCCCGCAACUGUAAUCCCGGAAGCUGUUUUGGAACAGCUUCAGUAUGCUUUGAUCAUCUUUUACCACUGUCCUGUAUGGAUGGGAAGGUCCUCAAAGUCGGGAAAGCCAGGAGACCUGCCAAUGAUAGUUUUAAUCU